UAUAUAUAUAUGUUUUUGGCACUCCGUCGCUUAUAACGACGUGGGUUCCAACUGAUCCGAUUAACGGAACAGCCUGCUCGUGAAAUUAACGUGCAAGUGGCUGAGCACUUCACAGACUCGUGCACCCCUUAAUGUAGUUGUCGAGUAGAUUCAGCGUAACACAAAUUGUGACAAGGCUAGCCCCUUUGAAAUACAGGUUCAACAGAAACAGGAAGAAAGCGUGAGAGAAAGUUGUGAUGAAAGAGUACAGCAUGGUUCGCCACCGCCCCCUGCCGCGGUCUCGUUGAUCUUUAGGUGUUUUCACUCA